GACGUAGGGCGCGAGCGUUGUCCGGAUUUAUUGGGCGUAAAGAGCUCGUAGGCGGCUUGUCGCGUCGAAUGUGAAAACCUGCAGCUCAACUGCAGGCUUGCAUUCGAUACGGGCAGGCUCGAGUUCGGUAGGGGAGACUGGAAUUCCUGGUGUAGCGGUGAAAUGCGUAGAUAUCGGGAGGAACACCCAUGGCGAAGGCAGCAAGCUGGGCGACACCUGACGCUGAGGCGCGAAAGCGUGGGUAGCAAACAGG
rnacentral:rRNA from 1 species